GAGCCCGUGCCUUCCGGCCUUUCUCCCGUUCCGAUGCAGCACGCCCGCCUCACAAUGAAUACAUUUUUGCCUUCGAGCCUGGGUCUAACCCUCCUCGGAGCUCAAGCCCACAUGUCAGCGGCCACAACUCUUCCUGCCCUCGUCCCUCGCCCAUAGAGGGCAAGGAAGUGAGGUGGGGAACGAGCGCUGAGCAAGGCGAAGGCGCUUACCUGGAAAUUAAAAGUCAGAGGACGGAAGAGACGACGAGCUCGAAGGAACCGGGAGAACAGAGAGACUGCGGCGCGGGAAGACGCCUGAUAAAGCGACUGAACUUAAAGAAAUCCUCCCUGCCUUAUCAAGAGCAGUCCUAUAGAGGGGAAUAAAGUGGCAUGGAACUGUGAUAUACUGCCAAGAGGUACAGGAACAGGCCUUCCUAGAAGUGGAUCCACACCUACACUACUGUGUAGGCUGACACCUGGAUGGAUGGUAUAUGAAUGCUAUGAAUCAGAGUUACCUAGCUAGGCCAAUCCCAGAACGCCGACCCUCUAAAACCACAGAUGUUUGUUUUGUCUUGAGACAAGGUCUGACUGUGAAACUCAAUUUGUGAAUUGGUGCUUAGUUCCCUUGCCCCUUGAGCCUCACACAGGCUAGAACUUAAUGCAUGCAGCAGCAUGCCUGAUAUACUCAUUAAGCUUUGUGCUAAUUUGAUAUCAAUAGAUACCUAAUACAUCUUCCCAGCAAA
rnacentral:lncRNA from 1 species